GAAAUGAAAUUUCUUCUUUGAGAAAUUGAAUAUGAUUUCUUUUUAAAUUAAUAUUAUGAAUAAUUUUUGAAAUUGCAGUUUCUUUUAAAGAAUUAACAUCUUUAUAAGAAGGAGGAUUUGAAAAUUCAAAGAAAAUCUUUUUUCCAAAAUUUUUUGUAGUUAAUCCUUUAUGAUUAGCUUUAAAAGGAUAAAUUUGAACAAUGAAAGGAGUACCAAGAAUAACAUCUUGAUCUAAAUUUUUUACUAAGUAAAAUAUAUUUUUGAAACAAAUAUUUGAAUUAAAAACAUGAGCUUUUGAAAUUUUGUAAUUAAUAUUUAAUUUUUUGUCACUAGUACCAUAAAGGCGUUCAGUAGUUUUUUCGAAAUAUUUUGUAGGAAUUAAGCCUUCCUUGAUACAAUUUUGAUCUGCUCCUGAAUCAAUAAGAAUACGAGUUGUGAAUUUGAAUUCUUUGUUAACUACAAUAGUCAUAUUGCAGUACCAUUUCUGAAGUUGAAUUCGAUUAAUAACAUUAAUAUUUUCUUCUUUAGUUUGAGGAAAUUUUGAAAUAGAUGAGGCAUCAGAUGAAGAUGAUUCAGAAUGAUGAGAAGGAAGUUUUGAAGAUGAUUUUGAUUUCAAUUUGUUUUGAGAAUAAUAUUCAUUGGUUAAGUCUUUUGCUUUAAGGCAAACUACUUCCAUUCGAAUAUCUUGGACUUGUUUUUCAAGUUUUGAGAUUUGAUUUUUCAUAUCCUUAACUUCACUUUGAAGAUCAAGAAUUGAAGGUUUAGAACCUUUUGAGAGUUCCUUUUGAGCACGACGAAGAAUAUUUGUAAUAUUGAUAUUAUCAAAAUUUUCUUUUAAUGUAGAGGAAGAUAAUAGAGAU
rnacentral:lncRNA from 1 species